AUAAUAAUUAGUCUUUUUAAUGAAGGCUGGAAUGAAUGAUUGGACGAGGUAAAUUCUGUCUCAUUUAAAUUAAAAGUUAAAUUUAAUUUUUUAGUUAAAAAGCUUAAAUUUAAUUAAAGGACGAGAAGACCCUAUAGAGCUUUAUAAUUAAUAAUUAAUAAUUUUUAAUUUUUUUUUAUUAAUUUAAAAUUAUUUUGUUGGGGCGACAGGAAAAUUAAUUAAACUUUUUUAAUUUUAUUACAUUAAUAAAUGAAUUAUUGAUCCUAAAAUUUAGAUUAUUAGAUUAAGUUACCUUAGGGAUAACAGCGUUAUUUUUUUUUAGAGUUCUUAUUAAUAAAAAAGAUUGC
rnacentral:rRNA from 1 species